rnacentral:miRNA from 1 species
UGAGGCAGGAGAAUUGCUUGAACCCAGGAGGUGGAGGUUGCAGUGAGCCGAGAUUGAGCCACUGCACUCCAGCCUGGGUGACAGAGUGAGACUC